rnacentral:lncRNA from 1 species
CAUUGCAGCAGUUGCCUGAUCUCAAGGCACUGCAUUCUCUACAUCUUGACAUGAUAUCAAAACACUCUCGAUCCUGAGGUGAUUCUCUCUUGAUUCGCAUUACUUUGCUUUCAAUUGGUUAGUCAUUCUAUCCCUUUUUCCAAUUUUUUUACUUUGUUCUACCUUUGUUGUUAUUGUUCCUUUUGAUUUUAUAUUGUUGUUUCAUUAUGGCGAUUGUGAGGAUAGUAGUUCAUCAAGUGCCUCUAAUUCUUCUCCAAUUGACUCAAAUAACCCAUUGUAUAUGCAUCCCUCUAAUAAUCUUGGAGCUGCAUUGGUACCCAUUCUUUUUGUCUGCAUUGGUUAUCGCUCAUGGAGGAGAAGCAUAUUUUAAUCAUUAUCGGUGAAAAAUAAAUUGGGAUUCAUCACUAGGGAGUGCGCAAAACCUAAUCUCAAUCACCCUAUAUACAGGUUGUGGGUGCGAUGUGAUGAUAUUGUUACUUCAUAUAUUUUGAAUUCUUUGUUGAGAGAAAUUGUAGACAGUGUUGAAUAUGUUACGGACUCAGUAAAACUUUGGCGAGAAUUAGAAGAUAGAUAUGAGCAGGCUAAUCAUGCGAAAUUAUACUAAAUACAAAAGAAAAUUAAUGAUUUGUCUUAAUGAUCCUUGACAUUACUAGUUAUUAUACAAAAUUGAAGAAACUUUGGGAGGAACUUAGUACUCUGAGUGCAAAGGCUCAAUGUACCUGUAAUUAUAUUUGUAGAGCCAAGGCUAAUAUUCACAAAGAAGAGCAAGAUAGAAGGUUGAUUCAGUUUUUGAUGGGUUUAAAUGAGGUGAUACAGUGAUUCAUGGUAGCAUAUGCCAGCUGGAUGGCAGCCAGAUGGCAGCUAGAUGGGAUCUCAAUAUCUUCCUUGUUAGAUAAUAAAACAAAAGAAGUCCAAAAAAUGAAAAAAUUAAAAUGGACAAUACAUAUUCAUCAAUCAUCGCCAUCUUUCUUUUAACAAAAUUAUGUUUUGAAAUAAAUUGAGAGAAGUGCGAAUAUUUGUUUGGUGUUGGUUGAGUUUGAUUGAGAAUUUUCACCAAAAAUGGAUCUUUAAUAGGGAAAAUUUAGGAACCACAUUAUUCGAAUACAUGGACUAUUUUUUUCUUCAAUAUCCCCCAAACAGGAUGGGUGUUUCAUUUAUUGAGUAAUAGUAUUACAAGAGUGAGGUAGUGUCGUAACACAAAAGAGAGGCUUCGUAGUUCAUUCCAUUGCCAAUAUAGUUUUCAUAAGUUGUGAAAGACGAGCAACAUUCUGAGAAUGUUUUAGUAUGCUUUUAAUUUGGAUAAAAAAGAAGACUUGCAUGAAGUAGCUUUUGAAAUUUCAAGUUCAGAUAAAGGUGAGGUAAUGACAUUUUAUAGUGGCUAGCAAAAUGAGGAGCAAUUUAAUUCUAACAUGGGUUGUUCGUUAGUUGCAUCAUCACCGUAAAGGUGGUGUAUAUAUUCCAUCGCAUAGAAAUAUAAAUUAUCACAAUUGCUAUUAAACUAAAGAAUUAUAAUUGAUUGAAGAAAUACAUAAAUGGUCAAGUAAACUAUUGAAGUACUUGAAUAUUGAAAAAGGCAUCCCUCUGAUAAUCCUGGAGCUGCAUUGGUACCCAUUCCUUUUGUCGGCAUUGGUUAUCACUCAUGGAGGAGAAGCAUUUUUUUUCUCAUUAUCAGUGAAAAAUCUCAUUAUCAGUGAAAAAUAAAUUGGGAUUCAUCACUGGAGAGUGCGCAAAACCUAAUCUUGAUCACCCUAUAUACAGGUUAUGGGUGCGAUGUGAAGAUAUUGUUACUUCAUGGAUUUUGACUUUUUUGUCGAGGAAAAUUACAUAUAGUGUUGAAUAUGUUAUAGACUCUGAGAAACUUUGACUAUAAUUAGAAGUAGAUAUGAGCAGGCUAAUGGUGCGAAAUUAUACCAAAUACAAAAGGAAAUUAAUGAUGUGUCUCAAGGAUCUCUUGACAUUACUGGUUAUUACACAAAACUGAAGAAACUUUGGGAGGAACUUAGUACUCUAGUUUAAAGGCUCUAUGUACCUGUAAUUGUAUUUGUGGAACCAAGGCUAAUAUUCACAAAGCAGAGCAAGAUAGGAGGUUAAUUUAGUUUUUGAUGGAUUUAAAUGAGGUGUAUACAGUGAUACGUGGUAGCAUAUUAAUGAUGAAUCACUUGCCCUCCAUGGCAGAAACUUUUUCCCUUCUAGUGCAAGAUGAGCAACAAAGGGAAAUCACGUCAUUUAGUCAUCUCAGCAUCGAGGCCACUGCUUUACAUACUAGCAGCAGUAGGUCUCCAUCUUACAAGACUAGCUACUCCAUAUCCAAUUAAUCUGGUCCUAUUCCAUACAAAUAAAAAUUCUAUGACUAUUGCAAGAGGACUAGUCAUUUCAAGGAAAAAUAUUUCCUGCUCUAUGGUUUUUCUUCUGGAUCCAGCAACACUGCACAAGCUCAGCAAUAAAAUUCCAAUCAGAACUUCAAUAGACAACAAUAUCUUAUUCAGAGGAACAACAAUUUUCAUAACUCCAAACCAAGACACAGUAAUUCUCGAGGAUCUUCCAACUUCAAUAGGUACAAUAGAGGAAAUAAUAAUAGAACAGUAGCAAAUGCUCACUGUGCAGUGAAAUUAGGAACUGGUGUGGGGAUUCGAGAUGUACAUGCACCCGAGAAAUUGUAUAAUUUGAAUCUCACUAAGGAUCAAUACGGUAGAAUUCAAGAUGUGUUGAAGACCUUCCAGCAAGAGCAUAUUAAUGACAGUUCUGGCCAUUCUGCACUUGUCAGUGGCACAAUUGAUUUUGCAGUUACUUUAGUCUGUACCUCCUCUAUUGAUUUUGGUAAAUUGUCUUAUGAAUGUUUCCAAAACAAAUCUGACUUAUAGAUAUUUAAUUCAGGAUCCUCGAAGCACAUGACCUUUAAUAUUCCACCCCUGCAUAACAUUGUCACUCUUCCUUACCUUCUAUUGGUAAUGUUGCCAAAUAGAUAUAAAGUCAAGGUAACUCAAGUUGGUACUGUGGCACUAGGACCUCUAAUUAUCUUGGAAAAGGUAUUGUUUGUACCAUUCUUCCAAUAUAAUUUGAUAUCCAUUCACACUAUGACACUUCAUUCAGGUUACACUGCCAACUUUAACAAGGACUUUUGUUUCCUGCAGGCCCUUCAAUGAAGAGGCCUCUAGUGAUUGGUAGGGCUGAAGUUGGUCUCUAUUUCUUGUGUCCCAGGUGUCUGCAUACUUCUCAUUCAAAUCCUACAUCAACUGCUUGUUCUAGUUUGUCUUUGUGUUGUCAUUGUAACAAAUAAUAUUCCUCUUCUACUCUAGCUACUGAUUUACUUUUACAAAAACAGCACUGUACUUUGUUUUCAACUAAGCAGACAUCUUAUUUAGAUAAACCUGCUUCUACUAUAAAUGUUUCAUGUGUUCACGCCUCCUCCAAUUUGAAUGUUUUCACUAAGAACAAUGUGAAUGUUUUGUGGCAUAAUAUAUUAGG